AACCUAGCACACCUGCGGUGUGUACCUGCGGAGGGAUCAUUAGCGAGUGGCUUGAGGACCCGUUUUUGGGACUCGGUUACCCGACCUUUAUGUCAUGUGGGCCGUCUGGAGUCGGAGACGAAACUUCUGUUACCGGUGGAGUUUCCCGAGCCGUUUUUGCGGUGGGGACGAAGGUGGUGAUGGAGGAGGAGACGAGGAGGACGAGGACGGCAAGUAGUAUUUCGGCGGAAGCGGUAGGGA
rnacentral:misc_RNA from 1 species